rnacentral:rRNA from 1 species
GUAGGAGGCGAGCGUUAUCCGGAUUUACUGGGUGUAAAGCGCGUGUAGGCGGUCCUGCAAGUGGUGCGUGAAAGCGCCCGGCUCAACCGGGCGAGGACGUGGGCGAACUGCAGGGCUAGAGGCAGGUAGAGGCGUGUGGAAUUCCGGGUGUAGUGGUGAAAUGCGUAGAGAUCCGGAGGAACACCAGUGGCGAAGGCGACACGCUGGGCCUGGCCUGACGCUGAGAGGCGAAAGCAUGGGGAGCGAACGGGAUUAGAAACCCCGGUAGUCCAUGCCGUAAACGAUGCUGACUAGGUGUGGCGGGUAUGAACUCCUGCCGUGCCGGAGCCAACGUGGUAAGUCAGCCACCUGGGGACUACGGCCGCAAGGUUA